CCUUGAAGAACACGAGGUUGAUAGGUCAGAGGUGUAAGUGCAGUAAUGUAUUAAGCUGACUGAUACUAAUAGGUCGAGGGCUUGACCAAAUU
rnacentral:rRNA from 1 species